UAAGGGCAGAAUUUCUAUUUUGGGGAAACAAGAUGUGGUGGGUUUAGUGCUGGCCAAAUCACCAGUGCACCCACUAGAAUUAUUUACUCAUUUCCUGCUGGGAGACAGG